rnacentral:rRNA from 1 species
AGAGUUUGAUCCUGGCUCAGGACGAACGCUGGCGGCGCGCCUAACACAUGCAAGUCGAACGAGAGAGAGGGAGCUUGCUUCCUUGAUCGAGUGGCGAACGGGUGAGUAACGCGUGAGGAACCUGCCUCAAAGAGGGGGACAACAGUUGGAAACGACUGCUAAUACCGCAUAAGCCCACGACCCGGCUUCGGGAAGAGGGAAAAGGAGCAAUCCGCUUUGAGAUGGCCUCGCGUCCGAUUAGCUAGUUGGUGAGGUAACGGCCCACCAAGGCGACGAUCGGUAGCCGGACUGAGAGGUUGAACGGCCACAUUGAGACUGAGACACGGCCCAGACUCCUACGGGAGGCAGCAGUGGGGAAUCUUCCGCAAUGGACGAAAGUCUGACGGAGCAACGCCGCGUGAGUGAUGACGGCCUUCGGGUUGUAAAGCUCUGUUAAUCGGGACGAAAGGCCUUCUUGCGAAUAGUUAGAAGGAUUGACGGUACCGGAAUAGAAAGCCACGGCUAACUACGUGCCAGCAGCCGCGGUAAUACGUAGGUGGCAAGCGUUGUCCGGAAUUAUUGGGCGUAAAGCGCGCGCAGGCGGAUUGGUCAGUCUGUCUUAAAAGUUCGGGGCUUAACCCCGUGAUGGGAUGGAAACUGCCAAUCUAGAGUAUCGGAGAGGAAAGUGGAAUUCCUAGUGUAGCGGUGAAAUGCGUAGAUAUUAGGAAGAACACCAGUGGCGAAGGCGACUUUCUGGACGAAAACUGACGCUGAGGCGCGAAAGCCAGGGGAGCGAACGGAAUUAGAUACCCCGGUAGUCCUGGCCGUAAACGAUGGGUACUAGGUGUAGGAGGUAUCGACCCCUUCUGUGCCGGAGUUAACGCAAUAAGUACCCCGCCUGGGGAGUACGAUCGCAAGGUUGAAACUCAAAGGAAUUGACGGGGGCCCGCACAAGCGGUGGAGUAUGUGGUUUAAUCCGACGCAACGCGAAGAACCUUACCAGGUCUUGACAUUGAUGGACAGAACUAGAGAUAGUUCCUCUUCUUCGGAAGCCAGAAAACAGGUGGUGCACGGUUGUCGUCAGCUCGUGUCGUGAGAUGUUGGGUUAAGUCCCGCAACGAGCGCAACCCCUAUCUUAUGUUGCCAGCACUUCGGGUGGGAACUCAUGAGAGACUGCCGCAGACAAUGCGGAGGAAGGCGGGGAUGACGUCAAAUCAUCAUGCCCCUUAUGACCUGGGCUACACACGUACUACAAUGGGAGUUAAUAGACGGAAGCAAUACCGCGAGGUGGAGCAAACCCGAGAAACACUCUCUCAGUUCGGAUCGUAGGCUGCAACUCGCCUACGUGAAGUCGGAAUCGCUAGUAAUCGCAGGUCAGCAUACUGCGGUGAAUACGUUCCCGGGCCUUGUACACACCGCCCGUCACACCACGAAAGUCGGAAGUGCCCAAAGCCGGUGGGGUAACCUUCGGGAGCCAGCCGUCUAAGGUAAAGUCGAUGAUUGGGGUGAAGUCGUAACAAGGUA